UCCCAUUAUAGUGUUAAUUAACUGUGUCAAAUGGGUCAUUUGUCCUGGAUGGAUAAGAGAUGUGCUAUCUCACCUUAACAAGUGCUACAUUUAAAAUGAGAAUCUGUUGCAAUAAGAACUUAUUAGGUUUAGUCAGGGACGCCGGAACGAUACUAAGGCAAAGGGGGGCGGACACACACCAAGGGCUCCUCUAUAGAGCAAAACUUCAAAAUCUACCGGAAAAUUUUUUUUCGAGACCUCGAGAACUUUUUGGGAGACCUCCCCCCCC